rfam:Staphylococcus massiliensis S46 Contig01, whole genome shotgun sequence.
AGCGUCUUUAAAUAAAGUCCAGAGAGGCUUUGAAGACAUGAUGAUAAACGUGAUACGUGUAUACCUAUAGGGAUAAGUAUGCUUAUCUUUAUUUCCAUAUACCUAAAUCCUCAUGUCUCAAAGUAGGCGUGAGGAUUUUUUGUU